AUUGAACGCUGGCGGCAGGCUUAACACAUGCAAGUCGAGCGGGGGAAGGUAGCUUGCUACCGGACCUAGCGGCGGACGGGUGAGUAAUGCUUAGGAAUCUGCCUAUUAGUGGGGGACAACAUCUCGAAAGGGAUGCUAAUACCGCAUACGUCCUACGGGAGAAAGCAGGGGAUCUUCGGACCUUGCGCUAAUAGAUGAGCCUAAGUCGGAUCAGGUAGUUGGUGGGGUAAAGGCCUACCAAGGCUACGAUCUGUAGCGGGUCUGAGAGGAUGCUCCGCCACACUGGGACUGAGACACGGCCCAGACUCCUACGGGAGGCAGCAGUGGGGAAUAUUGGACAAUGGGGGGAACCCUGAUCCAGCCAUGCCGCGUGUGUGAAGAAGGCCUUAUGGUUGUAAAGCACUUUAAGCGAGGAGGAGGCUACUUUAGUUAAUACCUAGAGAUAGUGGACGUUACUCGCAGAAUAAGCACCGGCUAACUCUGUGCCAGCCGCCGCCGUAA
rnacentral:rRNA from 1 species